CGGUCCUGCUCACACAGGUACCUUCUCCAAAGGUGUGCCCUUUCCCAUCUACCAGGGCAGGCACCACAUUACUUACCAGCAGUAAUGCACUUCCCACAGUGUAUAUGCUUGUGCACAGGAACACUUCUCUCUGCAGUAGAUGUAUUGGGGGAGGGAAAGGGCUAGCUGAGGGGUCAGGGCUGAGCAGUCUACCAGCAAGGUCGGGAGCUGCUCAGCUGCUAAUCUCUCCAUCAUGUGUUUGUUUCAGAAACAAGAGCCCAUAAGUGCUGUCUCUUUCCUUCCAAGAAUAGCCUUCUCAUGGGACUGCUGGUUACUCUAACUCUGGGUACUAUCCUGUCUUAGCUGCCCAUUGCCCUUGUUACCCCAUGGCAACUUGGGGACAAUUUAACUUGCUCCUUUGGGUAGCUUUUAGUUAAGCCUAGCAGUGAUCCCACAGAAAAAUUUUUUGUCAUAUCAGCCCUUGCUCAUUUAAAUUAUCUGUAUGAUAUGUCCUGUCCACAACUUAGAGAAAUAAAAACAAUAGCAGUGAGCAAAAAAAAA
rnacentral:lncRNA from 1 species